rnacentral:rRNA from 1 species
AUGCCUAAGUUCAACCUUCUCGCCAUGCCCAUUGCACCACAGACGAUUCUGCGCCCAUUUGGCGUUAACCCCGUUAGCCGCUGUCUUGGGCGGCAUGCCCGGUUCGGCUUCCGCGCGAGCUCCGCCGAGGCAGUGAACUGGGAGAACAAGCAGGAGAGUAGCAAGGGGAGGAGGAACAAGAAGAUAUCGGAAGAAACCGGUUUGAAGGCUCUGUAUGAUGAUGGGUUCGGGAGCGUCACCAUGAAGGAUUACUUAGAGGCGGUGAGGGCCAUGCCCAAGGACGACGGCGGGCCACCUCGAUGGUUCUGCCAUGCCCAAGUCGGCCGUUGGUUGACAAGCCACCUCUGCUGCUGUUCCUGCCAGGAUAUUCAAGUUUCAAGAACUCACCUCCCCCCCAGUUGCCAUGGUGUUUGA